UGCGGCCCCAAGGCCAAACAGAGCCGGU
rnacentral:piRNA from 1 species